rnacentral:rRNA from 1 species
GAUGAACGCUAGCGGGAGGCCUAACACAUGCAAGCCGAGCGGUAGAGUUUCUUCGGAAACUUGAGAGCGGCGCACGGGUGCGUAACACGUGUGCAACCUACCUUUAUCUGGGGGAUAGCCUUUCGAAAGGAAGAUUAAUACCUCAUAAUAUAAUGAUUGGCAUCAAUUAUUAUUGAAAACUCCGGUGGAUAGAGAUGGGCACGCGCAAGAUUAGAUAGUUGGUGAGGUAACGGCUCACCAAGUCAAUGAUCUUUAGGGGUCCUGAGAGGGAGAUCCCCCACACUGGUACUGAGACACGGACCAGACUCCUACGGGAGGCAGCAGUGAGGAAUAUGGGACAAUGGGUGAGAGCCUGAUCCAGCCAGCCCGCGUGAAGGAUGACGGUCCUAUGGAUUGUAAACUUCUUUUGUACAGGGAUAAACCUACCCUCGUGAGGGUAGCUGAAGGUACUGUACGAAUAAGCACCGGCUAACUCCGU